UCUUCCCACCCCAAACCAACCGGCUUCUCCAUCUGCUAUUUCGUUUCGUUUUGGUUCUUUGGUUCUGCUAUUUUGAUGUUUCUCUUGCGAUCGCUGGUUUGUUUUUCUUGAACCGAAUGUUCUCCUUUGUGUUUCUUUGAUGAUGCGCCGGUGAAGGCAAGAGGAGCGUUGCAUGCGUGCGUCCGUGCGUGCAGGAUUUAUUUGGCCGCAGAUCGUAGCUCGAGUGCCGAUCGAGGCAGGUUUUCUUUGCUCUUGGACUACGUUUUGUUCUCUUGGAACCUCUCUUCAGAUCAGACAGGGGCCUUGUGCGGCUGAUCGAUGAGCACUUGGUGCAAGAUCUGCAGGUGUGCUACGCACAAGUGACAGCAAUACACAUUUCACAAUCUGAGGCGCCGUCGUUUAUCAACAUGUUCGUUUCUUUCUUUUGGAUCAAGUGAUAGCAAGACGGCGGGCGUGGAGAUGAGGUCCAAGAACAGGUUCAUCUGCACGUCCGCGCGGCUCACGUUCCAGAUCUGUGUACGUUCCCCCGCUUAGUCGCUGUUGCUCUUGGGGUUUUUCCGUACCCGAGGCUCUUCUGUUACGUUUCGUUUCGUUCGGAAUGGUCUCGAUCGGUGUGUUUCUUCCGACCAUACAUCCGCCGAUGACGACGCAUAUAUUUGCAGAUGUGCUGCGCACAAGUGAUAGCAAUUCAUUAAUUUCUU